rnacentral:rRNA from 1 species
UACAGAGGUCUCAAGCGUUGUUCGGAUUCAUUGGGCGUAAAGGGUGCGUAGGCGGCGCGGUAAGUCGGGUGUGAAAUCUUGGAGCUUAACUCCGAAACUGCAUUCGAUACUGCCGUGCUUGAGGACUGGAGAGGAGACUGGAAUUUACGGUGUAGCGGUGAAAUGCGUAGAUAUCGUAAGGAAAACCGGUGGCGAAGGCGGGUCUCUGGGCCGUUCCUGACGCUGAGGCCCGAAAGCCAGGGGAGCAAACGGG